UCUGCCUUCAGGUCUGGGACAACCACUGGAAACGGUGGCUAAUACCGGAUGUGCCGCAAGGUGAAAGGUUAACUGCCUGAAGAUGAGCUCGCGUCUGAUUAGCUAGUUGGCAGUGUAAGAGACUACCAAGGCGACGAUCAGUAGCUGGUCUGAGAGGACGAUCAGCCACACUGGGACUGAGACACGGCCCAGACUCCUACGGGAGGCAGCAGUGGGGAAUUUUCCGCAAUGGGCGAAAGCCUGACGGAGCAAUACCGCGUGAGGGAGGAAGGCUCUUGGGUCGUAAACCUCUUUUCUCAGGGAAGAACACAAUGACGGUACCUGAGGAAUAAGCAUCGGCUAACUCCGUGCCAGCAGCCGCGGUAAUACGGAGGAUGCAAGCGUUAUCCGGAAUGAUUGGGCGUAAAGCGUCCGCAGGUGGCGAUGUAAGUCUGCUGUUAAAGCGUCUAGCUCAACUAGAUAAAAGCAGUGGAAACUACAUAGCUAGAGUACGUUCGGGGCAGAGGGAAUUCCUGGUGUAGCGGUGAAAUGCGUAGAGAUCAGGAAGAACACCGGUGGCGAAGGCGCUCUGNUAG
rnacentral:rRNA from 1 species